AAAUAUCAAUCUACAUCCAGCUACUACCACCUUAACACCACACUUUGGGGGCGAAAUGAAUCCAGGAACUAUUUCCAAUUUAGCGUCCCACCUAGCGAGCGACAGCUAUCUUACACGACGAAGAUCAGAAAUUGCCGACUGUCUCGAAGUUAGUGGGGGUAGGAGGGUUCAAUUAGGAGACCUAUUCCAGUCGGGAAGUUACACCCCUUACGAAUAUUUUUACGAGUUGUUGGAGGAGUGGGUGGGCAAGAAAGGGCCAUCCGCGACUCUGGAAGAGCUGGCGAAAAUUAUGCGUGAAAGGCAGUUCAAUGCUUUUGCAGAACGUAUACUGGAAAUACAUACAAGACCUUUAACCUGAGGGUUGUGGCAGUUUAUCAAUCGGCUAUUUUUGCUCACUGUAAAAUAUUAAAAAUUUUGUAAGCUUUGAUUUUUUGUAAAUCUUCGUCGAGAACAACUUACUUGCUAAUAAACCUACGAUUAAAAAUGCUC